AGUGAACGCUGGCGGUAGGCCUAACACAUGCAAGUCGAACGGCAGCACAGGAGAGCUUGCUCUCUGGGUGGCGAGUGGCGGACGGGUGAGGAAUACAUCGGAAUCUACUCUGUCGUGGGGGAUAACGUAGGGAAACUUACGCUAAUACCGCAUACGACCUACGGGUGAAAGCAGGGGACCUUCGGGCCUUGCGCGAUUGAAUGAGCCGAUGUCGGAUUAGCUAGUUGGCGGGGUAAAGCCCCACCAAGGCGACGAUCCGUAGCUGGUCUGCAGGAUAGAUCAGCCAGCCUGGAACUAAGACCCGGUCCAGACUCCGACGGGAGGCAGCAGUGGGGAAUAUUGGACAAUGGGCGCAAGCCUGAUCCAGCCAUACCGCGUGGGUGAAGAAGGCCUUCGGGUUGUAAAGCCCUUUUGUUGGGAAAGAAAUCCAGCUGGCUAAUACCCGGUUGGGAUGACGGUACCCAAAGAAUAAGCACCGGCUAACUUCGUGCCAGCAGCCGCCGUAA
rnacentral:rRNA from 1 species